rnacentral:rRNA from 1 species
UACGUAGGGGGCAAGCGUUGUCCGGAAUUAUUGGGCGUAAAGCGCACGUAGGCGGCUUUCUAAGUCAGGGGUGAAAUCCUGGAGCUCAACUCCAGAACUGCCUUUGAUACUGGAGAGCUUGAGUCCGGAAGAGGUGAGUGGAACUCCGAGUGUAGAGGUGAAAUUCGUAGAUAUUCGGAAGAACACCAGUGGCGAAGGCGGCUCACUGGCCCGAUACUGACGCUGAGGCACGAAAGCGUGGGAGCAAACAGG